rnacentral:rRNA from 1 species
GAUGAACGCUGACAGCAUGCUUAACACAUCAGCAAUUGAUUGGUGGCGGACGGGUGAGUAACGCGUAAAGAACUUGCCUCACAGGUAGGGACCACAUUUGGAAACGAAUGCUAAUCCCUACAACUGUGAGAUAGCUUUGCGUCCCAUUAGCUAGUUGGAGAGGUAACGGCUCACCAAGGCGAUGAUGGGUAGCCGGCCUGAGAGGGUGAUCGGCCACAAGGGGACUGGGAGACGGACCGUACUCAUACGGGAGGCAGCAGUGGGGAAUAGUGGACAAUGGACCAAAGUCUGAUGCAGCAAUUCUGUGUGCACGAUGAAGUUUUCGGAAGGUAAAGUGCUUUCAGUUACGAAGCGGUACCAACAGAAGAAGUGACGGCUAAAUACGUGCCAGCAGCCGCGGUAAUAC